UUACGGCCACAUCACGAUAAAAUACCGGUUCCCGUACGAUCACUGAAGUUAAGCAAUGUUGAGCGUGGUCAGUACUUAGAUGGGUGACCGCUUGAGAAUACCAGGUGCUGUAAG